UCGAACGGCAGCACGGGGGCAACCCUGGUGGCGAGUGGCGAACGGGUGAGUAAUGCAUCGGAACGUGUCCUCUUGUGGGGGAUAACCAGUCGAAAGACUGGCUAAUACCGCAUGAGAUCGAAAGAUGAAAGCGGGGGACCGCAAGGCCCCGCGCGAGAGGAGCGGCCGAUGCCGGAUUAGCUAGUUGGUGGGGUAAAAGCCUACCAAGGCGACGAUCCGUAGCUGGUCUGAGAGGACGACCAGCCACACUGGGACUGAGACACGGCCCAGACUCCUACGGGAGGCAGCAGUGGGGAAUUUUGGACAAUGGGCGCAAGCCUGAUCCAGCCAUGCCGCGUGUGUGAAGAAGGCCUUCGGGUUGUAAAGCACUUUCGGACGGAACGAAAUCGCGCGGUUGAACAUUCCGCGUGGAUGACGGUACCGUAAGAAGAAGCACCGGCUAACUACGUGCCAGCAGCCGCGGUAAUACGUAGGGUGCGAGCGUUAAUCGGAAUUACUGGGCGUAAAGGGUGCGCGGGCGGCCCCGCAUGUCAGGCGUGAAAUCCCCGAGCUCAACUUGGGAAUGGCGCUUGAAACUACGGGGCUGGAGUGUGGCAGAGGGAGGUGGAAUUCCACGUGUAGCGGUGAAAUGCGUAGAGAUGUGGAGGAACACCGAUGGCGAAGGCAGCCUCCUGGGCCAACACUGACGCUCAUGCACGAA
rnacentral:rRNA from 1 species